rnacentral:rRNA from 1 species
GUGUCAGCCGCCGCGGUAAAACCAGCACCUCAAGUGGUCAGGAGGAUUAUUGGGCCUAAAGCAUCCGUAGCCUGUUCUAUAAGUUUCCGGUUAAAUCCAUUAGCUCAACUAAUGGGCCGCCGAAAAUACUGUAGAACUAGGGAGUGGGAGAGGUAGACGGUAUUCGGUAGGAAGGGGUAAAAUCCUUUGAUCUAUUGAGGACCACCUGUGGCGAAGGCGGUCUACCAGAACACGUUCGACGGUGAGGGAUGAAAGCUGGGGGAGCAAACCGGAUUAGAUACCCGGGUAGUCCCAGCUGUAAACGAUGCAGACUCGGUGAUGCGCUGGCUUGUGGCCAGUGCAGUGCCGCAGGGAAGCCGUUAAGUUUGCCGCCUGGGAAGUACGUACGCAAGUAUGAAACUUAAAGGAAUUGGCGGGGGAGCACCACAAGGGGUGAAGCCUGCGGUUCAAUUGGAGUCAACGCCAGAAAUCUUACCCGAAGAGACAGCAGAAUGAAGGUCAAGCUGGAGACUUUACCAGACAAGCUGAGAAGUGGUGCAUGGCCGUCGCCAGCUCGUGCCGUGAGAUGUCCUGUUAAGUCAGGUAACGAGCGAGAUCCCUGCCUCUAGUUGCCACCAUUACUCUCAGGAGUAAUGGGGCGAAUUAGCGGGACCGCCGCAGUUAAUGCGGAGGAAGGAAGGGGCCACGGCAGGUCAGUAUGCCCUGAAACUUUGGGGCCACACGCGGGCUGCAAUGGUAGUGACAAUGGGUUCCGAAUCCGAAAGGAGGAGGCAAUCCUCAAACACUACCACAGUUAUGAUUGAGGGCUGUAACUCGCCCUCAUGAAUAUGGAAUCCCUAGUAACUGCGUGUCAUUACCGCGCGGUGAAUACGUCCCUGCUCCU